rnacentral:rRNA from 1 species
GACGAACGCUGGCGGCGUGCCUAAUACAUGCAAGUAGAACGCACAGUUUAUACCGUAGCUUGCUACACCAUAGACUGUGAGUUGCGAACGGGUGAGUAACGCGUAGGUAACCUGCCUGGUAGCGGGGGAUAACUAUUGGAAACGAUAGCUAAUACCGCAUCAUAUUAAUUAUUGCAUGAUAAUUAAUUGAAAGGUGCAAUUGCACCACUACCAUAUGGACCUGCGUUGUAUUAGCUAGUAGGUGAGGUAACGGCUCACCUAGGCGACGAUACAUAGCCGACCUGGGAGGGUGAUCGGCCACACUGGGACUGAGACACGGCCCAGACUCCUACGGGAGGCAGAAGGAGGGAAUCUUCGGCAAUGGACGAAAGGCUGACCGAGCAACGCCGCGUGAGUGAAGAAGGUUUUCGGAUCGUAAAGCUCUGUUGUAAGAGAAGAACGGGUGUGAGAGUGGAAAGUUCACACUGUGACGGUAUCUUACCAGAAAGGGACGGCUAACUACGUG